AUGUUAGCAAAACAGUGUUGGCGACUUCUCCAGAACCCGGACUCUUUGUGUGCUCAGGUCCUUAGCGCUAAAUAUUAUCCAGAUGGAAAUUUGCUGAAAGCUGGUCCAAAAAAGGGGCCGUCCUAUACAUGGCAAAGUAUCGUGGCAGGCAUAUGGACGUUCCAAAGAGGAUGUAUAUGGAGAGUUGGAUCCGGGUCCCAAAUUAAUAUUUGGUGUGACCCAUGGAUACCAACUAGUGCAUCACGGAAGGUAAUCACACCAAGGGGGGUGAAUAUACUGUCAAAAUUGGAGGACCUCAUUGAUCCAUACACUGGCAGGUGGGAUGAGGAGCUUCUUCGUGAUUGUUUCUCGCCGGUGGAUGUGCAAAGGAUACUACAAAUCCCUCUUCAUUCUCGGUUCACCGAAGAUUUUGUCGCCUGGAAUUUUCCAAGGUCGGGAACCUUCUCUGUUCGGUCU
rnacentral:rRNA from 1 species